AACGAACGCUGGCGGCAUGCCUAACACAUGCAAGUCGAACGAGACCUUCGGGUCUAGUGGCGCACGGGUGCGUACCGCGUGGGAACCUGCCCUUAGGUUCGGAAUAACUCCCCGAAGGGGGUGCUCAUACCGGCUCAUGUCUUCGGACCAAAGAUUUAUCGCCUUUGGAUGGCCCGCGUUGGAUUUGCUAGUUGGUAGGGUAAAAGCCUAGCUAGGCGACGGUCCAUAGCUGGUCUGAGAGGAGGGUCAGCCACACUGGGACUGAGACACCGCCCAGACUCCUACGCGAGGCAGCAGUGGGGAAUAUUGGACAAUGGGCGAAAGCCUGAUCCAGCAAUGCCGCGUGAGUGAUGAAGGCCUUAGGGUUGUAAAGCUCUUUUACCCGGGAUGAGAAUGACAGUACCGGGAGAAUAAGCUCCGGCUAACUCCGUG
rnacentral:rRNA from 1 species